AUCGUUUUGGUAUUUGUAUCUGGCAUAAUAAAAAAUUCUAUUCUUAUCAGCUUAGUAUCGGAUACGUGUUGUAUAUGGACCCAAGUUAUUAAACUUAUUUUUGCAAGUUGGCCGAGGGCCUGAAACCUGCUUCAUCUCCACCGCGGGUCGGCCCGGUAUUGCACUAUAUUCGGGAUCGAUGUAUGGUUU